UACGGGGGGGGCAAGCGUUGUUCGGAAUUACUGGGCGUAAAGGGCUCGUAGGUGGCCAACUAAGUCGGACGUGAAAUCCCUCGGCUUAACUGGGGAACUGCAUCCGAUACUGGAUGGCUUGAGUUCGGGAGAGGGAUGCGGAAUUCCAGGUGUAGCGGUGAAAUGCGUAGAUAUCUGGAGGAACACCGGUGGCGAAGGCGGCAUCCUGGACCGACACUGACGCUGAGGAGCGAAAGCCAGGGGAGCAAACGGG
rnacentral:rRNA from 1 species